rnacentral:rRNA from 1 species
GAUGAACGCUAGCGGCAGGCCUAAUACAUGCAAGUCGAACGGUGUAGCAAUACACAGUGGCGCACGGGUGCGUAACACGUAUGCAACCUACCUUACAUUGGGGGAUAGCCUUUCGAAAGGGAGAUUAAUACCGCAUAAGACAGUAACUAGGCAUCUAGUAGCUGUUAAAGAUUUAUCGAUGUAAGCUGGGCAUGCGUCCAAUUAGUUAGUUGGCGAGGUAAUGGCUCACCAAGACGAUGAUUGGUAGGGGAACUGAGAGGUCAAUCCCCCACACGGGCACUGAGAUACGGGCCAGACUCCGACGGGAGGCAGCAGUAGGGAAUAUUGGGCAAUGGGCGCAAGCCUGACCCAGCCAUGCCGCGUGCAGGAAGAAGGCGUUAUGCGUUGUAAACUGCUUUUAUACAGGAAGAAACGACCCUUGCGAGGGGCAUUGACGGUACUGUAUGAAUAAGCACCGGCUAACUCCGUGCCAGCAGCCGCCGUAAGAC